GCCUGGAUUUUAUAUUAGGAGACUUUGUUUAUAUUAUUGGGAGGUGUUAUAUUUCAUUUUUUGGAGGUGGGUUAUACUUGGAAUUAGAUAUAAAUUUUGAGAGUUUAUUUGGAGACAUGCAUGAUUUUCUUUAGUUAGUGAUGGGCAUUUGGAGAUUAAGUAAAAGUUUAUUAAGUGGAGAUACAUGUGGCAAUCUUAUAGGAAAACUUAAAACGAUGUGUCCUUACAAUCAGCCCACAUAAAGACGCGUUAGUAAUCCAUGGCUUUUACAAUUCAAGCGUGUCCCACACUUGGGGGGAUGAAACAGAAAACUAAGGUGUAGUAGGAAAGGGAAAAAUGAAGAGAGGAUUAGAGAGAAGAAGGAGCAGAACCGAAAGAAUAAGUAGAGGGAGGUUCGGUCAUGGAAGAAAAUAAAGGGAAGAAAGGAUUAAGGAAGUGCUAGCCAGAUUUCCACCAGCCUUUCACCAUCACCUUAUGCGUGUUCAUUUCCAUUAUCAUCUCACCUUUUCUAGCAUGAUUGAGGACAACUGGACAAGUGCAGAUUUCAUGCGCCUCCACCGUCGUGGAAUACGCUGGUAAUUUCGGGGUCGCACCACUAGUCAGGAACGAAUAUAAGAUGUGCAAUAAGAAAGCUAAUGUUGUCCACCGUCGUCAACAAAAUCAGGCCGUAACGAAACGAUAGGGUUUUCAAGAACAAAAAUGUACACAAAUCGUGAUUUUGAGGCAAAUUACGGAUCUGGUGAGACAUAAAUUACUAUCCAGAAGCGUGAAGGACUCGCCUCUUAUAAGACAACUGAUGAUUGAGUGGGAACUUCCGGCGUCGUUCGCCCGACCUCCUCCGGAGCCGACUGAUUGAUCAAUUUAGGGUUUUGCCCUUUUGCUUUGUUCACCGGAUUGUUUGUAUGUCUGAGACACGCAUAGUCCAUGUUUUGUGGAUUGGGUUCCCCAUUCAUAGGCUUGGCCUUAAUCUUUUAAUUAUUCUUCAUUUAUACAAUAUUUAACUUCCCAAAAAAAAAAAAAAAAACCACCAACAACAAUGACUUCAGCAUUCAAUAAUAAAUUUACAUACAUA